rnacentral:rRNA from 1 species
CAAUAGCGUAUAUUAAAGUUGUUGCAGUUAGAACGCUCGUAGUCGGAUUUCGGGGCAGUCCGACCGGUCUGCCGAUGGGUAUGCACUGGCCGGAGUGUCCUUUUUGCCGGAGACCGUGCCUACUCUUAACUGAGCGGGGGCGGGAGACGGCACUUUUGCUUUGAAAAAAUCAGAGUGUUUCAAGCAGGCAGCUCGCUCUUGCAUGGAUUAGCAUGGGAUAAUGAAAUAGGACUUUGGUGCUAUUUUGUUGGUUUCGAACACCGAAGUAAUGAUGAGAAGGGACAGUCAGGGGCACUCGUAUUCCGCAGAGAGAGGUGAAAUUCUCAGACCCGCGGAAGACGAACCACUGCGAAAGCAUUUGCCAGGGAUGUUUUCACUGA